rnacentral:rRNA from 1 species
GACGAACGCUGGCGGCGUGCUUAACACAUGCAAGUCGAACGGUAAGGCCCUUCGGGGUACACGAGUGGCGAACGGGUGAGUAACACGUGGGUGAUCUGCCCUGCACUUCGGGAUAAGCCUGGGAAACUGGGUCUAAUACCGGAUAGGACUCCGGACUGCAUGGUCUGGGGUGGAAAGCUUUUGCGGUGUGGGAUGGGCCCGCGGCCUAUCAGCUUGAUGGUGGGGUGAUGGCCUACCAAGGCGACGACGGGUAGCCGGCCUGAGAGGGGGACCGGCCCCAAGGGUACUGAGAUGCGGCCCAGCGUCGUACUGGAGGAAGCAGUGGGGAAUACUGCACAAUGCGCCCAAGGCUGAGUCAGCGACGCCGCGUGAGUGAUGCAGGCCUCAGGGUUGUAAACCUCUUUCAGCAUCGACGCAGCCAAACUAACGGUAGGUGCAGAAGAAGGACCGGGCAACUACGUGCCAGCAGCCGCCGUAA